rnacentral:rRNA from 1 species
GACGAACGCUGGCGGCGUGCUUAACACAUGCAAGUCGAACGGAAAGGCCCCUUUGGGGGUACUCGAGUGGCGAACGGGUGAGUAACACGUGAGUAACCUGCCCUUGACUUCGGGAUAACUUCAGGAAACUGGGGCUAAUACCGGAUAGGAAUCCUUGCUGCAUGGUGGGGGUUGGAAAGCUUCUGCGGUUUUGGAUAGACUCGCGGCUUAUCAGCUUGUUGGUGGGGUAGUGGCUUACCAAGGCUUUGACGGGUAGCCGGCCUGGGAGGGCGAACGGCAACAGUGGGACUGAGAUACGGCCCAGACUCCUGCGGGAGGCAGCAGUGGGGAAUAUUGCACAAUGGGCGGAAGCCUGAUGCAGCAACGCUGCGUGCGGGAUGACGGCCUUCGGGUUGUAAACCGCUUACAGCAGGGGCGAAGCUUGUGGUGACGGUACCUGCAGAAGAAGCACCGGCUAACUACGUG